AAAUACCACAACAACUAAAAGACAUCUUGAAUAAAGAAACACUUCAGUGGACCCAAUCUUCAGGGGUGCAUUCAGUUUCUCUGCCACAGGUACCUCUCAGCCAGCAAGGCACACUCAGGUAUAGACAGGCGUACCCCAGUCGUGUGGCACCCGUGAAUAGAUCCAGUGAGCCUGUGCAGCUGUGUUUUGAUCAGCAGAGAGGUUUCCUGGCAUCCGAGAACUGAAAUCACCUUGUGGUGCUUCAGCUAGGACUGGUGUUGGUUGGGAACUGGCAAUUGCUCCUCUCCUGCUCCUGAGAUGCUGAAGAACAGCCGCACAAACAUACUCAGCACAAGGGCGUUUCUCCACAUUUAUCUUAGGUCACCACACCUCACUGGAGGUUUCCCUGGCUUAAUGAGCAAUUCUGAAACCAUGGGAAGUACCAGACGAUGGGGGUCAGUGUACAUUCUGAUAUUUGAAAGCCACUCCAUAGCAUCACAAGAGGAUUCUUGGCACCUGCCUAGUUAAACUGAAUGUCCAAUGUUAUCUCUCCAGGUAGAAUUGAUAAUCAUCCAGGCCAUUAGUGCUGCUCCUCUGCCAUGGCCCAAGAUCAGUCCCAGCCCUCCUGCACCGGGGGCUGCAGGUUCUUGUACUGCAAACCAGUGCCAGUUGGAGUCUGCCUUUCAGCUCUCCUGUUCCUGCAAUUUCUGUGCACAGAUUUUAUUUCUUUUUAAUUAAUUUUGCCUAGCAAUUUUUGGCCCUAAAAACUGAGCUGGGACCUUUUUGUGUGUCAGUCUUCCAUCCUGUAGAAUGAAUUGUGUGGUUUGUAGUAAAAUGGGACUCUCUUAGGAUGAAAAGCACUAUGAAAAUCCUCAGAAUUAUUGUAGCAAAUUUUUUGUUUCAUUUAAUGUGAGAGGUAGAAUGUAGGGCAGAGCACCGUUCUAUGUUGAUGGAUAUUGCUGUGUUCAGUUUGCCAAAAUUAACACACUGGAAAACAACAAGAACAACAAUGAUGGAGGGGGAAAAAAGCCUCGACCAAGCAAAAACUUUGGAAAAGUUUCUUUUUUCUGAGUAGAGGCAUUUUAUGUUAGAGCCUUAGAGCUGAUUCUGUCUCUCCCAAGUUAUAAACCCUUAUGGAUGCACCAUAAAGAUGUCCACCUAAUGCAGAGAAAAGCAGAUUAAUUGAUCACAGUAAUAUAUUCUUAUCCACUGAAUAAGAGCAUUCCACACAUUGUUUCUUGUUUUGUUUCUGGCUUGUAAAUCUUCAUUGUAGGAUACAAAUGAAAAUGACCCAAAUAUGUAUUAUUUAUGAAUAGGACUCUCAGAUAUUAUGCUUUAGAUUGAUUGUGUUAGACAGGAUAUAACAGAAGCACAAUAAGUCAAUGAAAAAUAAAAAGCAGAAAAAAUGUUUCA
rnacentral:lncRNA from 1 species